rnacentral:rRNA from 1 species
AUUGAACGCUGGCGGCAGGCCUAACACAUGCAAGUCGAACGAGUGGCGGACGGGUGAGUAAUGUCUGGUAAACUGCCUGAUGGAGGGGGAUCACUACUGGAAACGGUAGCUAAUACCGCAUACCCUCGGAUGUGCCCAGCUGGGAUUAGCUAGUUGGGGGGGUAAAGGCUCACCUAGGCGACGAUCCCUAGCUGGUCUGAGAGGAUGACCAGCCACACUGGAACGGAAACACGGCCAAACCGCCUACGGGAGGCAGCAGUGGGGAAUAUUGCACAAUGGGCGCAAGCCUGAUGCAGCAAUGCCGGGGGGAGGAAGAAGGCCUUCGGGUUGUAAAGUACUUUCAGCGGGGAGGCGUUACCCGCAGAGGAAGCACCGGCUAACUCCGUGCCAGCAGCCGCGGUAAUAC